rnacentral:lncRNA from 1 species
CCGUGAACCGGCGGCUCACCGGCGGCGUGUCAGCGCUGGAUGAACCCAGAAAACCCGCCUUCUGCUCGUUUAUUUGUUUUUGCUUCUUUCACGGUCUUACCGACGGCGUGCCGCGGUAAUGCUGCGCGGUCAAAGCCGAUGAAGUUUCCCAGAGACAUCUGCCGGCUGCUGGGCUUAGGAGGCGAUGGGCCAGGUGAGGAGGAGAUGGCGGCUCAGGGUGAUGCUCCGAACCCAACAGACAAAAGAAGAGGCCAAGACUCAUCACAGUCCAUGCUGAGUAAUGAUGAAGGUCCUGAUGAUGAUGAUGAUGAAGAGAGAGCAAGGAGGAAGGCUGAGAGGAAAAGAGCCAAAAAGAAAAGGCAGAAAGAAAGGAAGAAACUGGAGCGCGAGGAGAGGAUGGAGGACUUGGAGCAGGAGGAGGAAGAAGUGUCUGGAGCAGCGUCAGACAGUAACAGUGAGGAGGAAUUUAAAGUGGAUGAGAAAAAAGCUGAGGUUCAUCCCAGAAACAAAUGCAGCCCUGAAUCCGUUUCUGCCCUCAUGACGGCGGAGAACAAGAGCAACCGCCAGUUACCUCACAGGACCUCCGACGAGGAGCCAGAGUGGGACGUCAGCAGUGCAUUUGUUGCCAACGCUGCCAGCCACAUUAGACUCAAAGGCCUGAAGAACAGAGCUGUUCAGGUCACCAGGGAGAACAAAGAGAAUGAGGCCAAGAGCAGCCAGGUACAAACACAAGGCUCCGAGCUUUCUGUCCACCCACGUGUCUUUGGCUGAAGCUGUC